ACUCCAGGUACGGCGCCGCGGGGACCGGGUCCUUGCGCCGGUUUCCGCUUCUCGUGGGUCCUGCGGCGGCGGCGGCGGCCAAGCGGCGUUCACCAGGGAGUCGGUGAGCGCGCGGACUGUCCCGAGGCCAAGCUGGGGCCGUUCCAGGGUGCUCGGUCCGGUGGUCCCGGGGCCUGGAGGCCCCUGGGCCCGCGGAGGCCGCGGCCGGGCUCUGUCAGCCAGCUCGGCGUUGGACACUCGCCUUACUCGCGGCUCCUAACGGGGCGGGCCGGGGGCACAGCCCUCGUCCGCCGCCAUUGCCACUUGACGUCGUGUCACGUAGGCUCGGCGGAGUAGCAGCGCGCAUGCGCGGCUUGCCUGUCAGUAACCACGUGAUGGACCCGGAAGCCCGAGGGCAGAUGCUGAAUGAUGGCCCUUUGACAUUUGCGUGUGUUCACUGUGGAUAGUUUUACCAAGUACAUUGAUUUGGGCCCUUACAGCUUACAAAGUAAAGAUAACACUUACUCCUCCAAGAAAUUGAUUUCAGCUAAGCAAAACAUUGAUACAGGGCUAUAAUGGAAGUGUUGGACUCAUAAACGUUUUAUGAAAUCAGUGUGUGUGUAUUACAGAAAUCAGAAAUGAGAAGUAAGAACAUGCCUGGGAGAGUGUGACAUAAGAAAAAUAACUUGUAGGCGUAUUUAACAGACAGCAGCAGUUCUCAGGAUUCCCCAUGUUAGAGCCUUCCUUCCUGUCCUCUGAGAAAUGAAAAUGAAAUCCAAAGACCCCCAACUGACUACACGAACCGCCUACUGGCUAAGGAGAUCCCAGGGUUGCCUUGAAGGCAGUUCUCAGCCAUGACAGAUGGGAGGUGAGACACCUGUUAUUAAGGCCAACCGUUGGCUAACUACCAUUAGGUUUUCUUGGCUAAGAGCUUAACGGAAACCAGCGCUUUCGAAAGACUCCACCGCUGAUAACAACCCUCUCGUGCAGUUUCGGCCCAAUUGACCAGUAUUCCUUACUGAUAAGAGAUACUGACCAUGGAGUGGUUCUGGUGAGAUGACAUGACCCUCGUGAAGGGGCCUGAAGCUUCAUUGUGCUUGUUCUCCCUCUGUUGCCGAGGCUGGACUGUACUGCCGUGAUCUCGGCUUGCUGUAACCUCCCUGCCUCGGGCUGCCAUGAUUCUCCUGCCUCAGCCUGCCGAGUGCCUGGGAUUGCAGGCACGCGCCGCCACGCCUGACUGGUUUUUGUAUUUUUGGUGGAGACGGGGUUUUGCCGUGUUGGCCGGGCUGGUCUCCAGCUCCUGACCUUGAGUGAUCUGCCCGCCUCGGCCUCCCGAGGUGCUGGGAUUGCAGACGGAGUCUCACUCACUCAAUGCUGCCCAGGCUGGAGUGCAGUGGCGUGAUCUCGGCUCACUACAACCUCCACCUCCCAGCUGCCUGCCUUGGCCUCCCAAAGUGCUAAGAUUACAGCCUCUGCCCAGCCGCCACCCCGUCUAGGAAGUGAGGAGCGUCUCUGCCCGGCCGCCACCCCGUCUGGGAAGUGAGGAGAGCCUCUGCCCGGCCGCCACCCCGUCUGGGAAGUGAGGAGAGCCUCUGCCCAGCCGCCACCCCUUCUCAGAUGUGAGGAGCGCCUCUGCUCGGCCGCCCCAUCUGGGAGCCUUUCUGCAGGUGUACUCAACAGCUCCGGGGAGACAGUGACCAUCGAGAAUGGGCCAUGAUGACGAUGGCAGUUUUGUCGAAAAGGAAAGGGGGAAAUGUGGGGAAAAGAAAGAGAGAUCAGAUUGUUACUGUGUCUGUGUAGAAAGAAGCAGACCAAGGAGACACCAUUUUGUUCUGUACUAAGAAAAAUUAUUCUGCCUUGGGAUGCUGUUAAUCUAUGACCUUACCCCCAACCCCGUGCUCUCUGAAACCUGUGCUGUGUCAACUCAGGGUUAAAUGGAUUAAGGGUGGUGCAAGAUGUGCUUUGUUAAACAGAUGCUUGAAGGCAGCAUGUUCGUUAAGAGUCACCACCACUCCCUAAUCUCAAGUACCCAGGGACACAAACACUGCGGAAGGCCGCAGGGACCUCUGCCUAGGAAAACCAGAGACCUUUGUUCACUUGUUUAUCUGCUGACCUUCCCUCCACUAUUGUCCUAUGACCCUGCCACAUCCCCCUCUCUGAGAAACACCCAGGAAUGAUCAAUAAAUACUAAAAUAAAUAAAUAAAUCAAUAAAAUAAAAA